rnacentral:rRNA from 1 species
AAGUCGAACGAGAACGUCACUUCUGUGGCGAGUAGGGUGGCGCACGGGUGAGUACCGGGCUUAAGAUCUACCCUUCCGUCUGGAACAACUCUUGAAAACGGGAUCUUUCCCCGGAUAAAACCUUCCGCCUGAAAGAUUUAUCGCUGGGGCAUGAUUCUGCGUACCAUUAGCUUGGUGUUGGGGUAACGGCCUACCAAGGCGACGAUGGUUAGCGGAUUCUGAAAGGACAAUCCGCCACACUGGAACUGACUCCCGGUCCAGACUCCUACGGGAGGCAUUGGAAAAUGAAUAUUGCGCAUGGUCGGCAACCCUGACGCAGCAGUGCCGCGUGAGUGAAGAAGGCCUUCGGGUCGUAAAGCUCUUUUAUGGGGAAAGAUGAUGACGAUACCCCGUGAAUAUUCACCGCCUAACUACGGGCCAUCAGCCGCGAUAAUACGUAGGUCGCAAGCGUUGUUCUUAAUUACUGGGCGUAAGGGUCAUGCAGGCGGAUUGGAAAGCCGGAGGUGAAAGCCCGGGGCUCACCCCCGGAGGUUCUUUCGGAACUGCCAGUCUUGAAAGGGAAUUUCUAGUGUAGAAUUUCUAGUGUAGAGAUGAAAUUCGAAUAUAUUAUUGCGAAUACCACUUGCUGAAUCAUCUUUCUGGAUCAUUACUGACACUGAGGAACGAAAGCAUGAUUAGCGAACAUCAUAAUAUACGCUCGAAGUCAAUGCCGUAAACGAUGUGAGAUAUACGUUCAAAGUUUAUUUUCAGUGUCUCAGCACAAGCGAUGAACACACCGACUGGGGAGUACAACUCAAGGUAAUGCUCAAAUGACUUGACGGUAACGCACACUGGGAGUGAAUCAUGUGAUUUACUUCGAAGAUACGCGCAAAUCUUAUGAUCAUUUGAAAUGUACGACAUGACUCUAUGAGAUUAGAGUGUUCGAAUCGCCGUACUAAACACAUGUGCUGCAUGCUGUCGUCAGAUCUUGUCGGAGACGUUCGACUAACGUCACGCAUCGAUCUCAGUCGUCACUUUAGUGCAUCAUUAGAUGACUGUCAUGGAUACUGCAGGAAGAGCUGAAGAAGUAGGUCAUGAGUCAGUACUGUGCUUACCGGUGCUCUACGCAUGCUACAUGAUCUAGACUGGGAGAUAGCAGGCCAGUUAAGAAACUCUUUACAGAAUGCUCCUUGUCGGAAUGCAGCUCUU